rnacentral:rRNA from 1 species
CCCUUAGAUGUCCUGGGCCGCACGCGCGCUACACUGAGUGUCUGAGAUACGAGUCUGCCUGGUCCGGCAAGGUCUAGGUAAUCGCUAAAAGACACAUCAUGCUUGGGAUAGAUUAUUGCAAAUAUUAAUCUUGAACGAGGAAUUCCUAGUAAAGGCAAGUCAUCAUCUUGCUUUGAUUACGUCCCUGCCCUUUGUACACACCGCCCGUCGCUACUACCGAUUGAAUGGUUUAAUGAGAUCUUCGGAUUGGCUUCCUUGGUACCCUAACAGGUCCAAGGUUAGUCGAAAAGUUGCUCAAAUUUGAUCAUUUAGAGGAAGUAAAAGUCGUAACA